GGGGGAGGAGGGAUAUUGAAUACACAUCUAAUCUUGGGUCAGGGGGUGGGAAGGGUGAUAUUGAAUGCAAAUCAAAUAUUUAUAUUCACAACCAUGGUGUUAUGUAAAUAGGAGUUUUAAAGUUUUGACAAUUUUACAGCUAAAGUACUGUUUUGAAAUAAAUAUCAAAUAAUUCAUAAAUUGUAAAAAUAAUAGAUUAAACCAUGCACUCAUCCUUAAAUUCAGGCUCCUGAGUGGGGAAUGUUAAUACUGGUAGUCAAUCUUAAAAAUAGUAUCAAUGAUUGUUUCACAGGUGACAUAAAAUAUAGGGGGUUAAUAGGGUUUACCAAACAAAGAAUAAUUAAUAUAAUGCCCAAUUAUUGAAUUAAAAAAUAAUUAUGAACAUUAUAUUUAUUGGAGAUAAAUAAGCACACAUAAUUAAAAUAGAGAAUAAUGGGAUGCAAAAGUAAGAAGAGUAACUGUGGAAAACAAAAUAAUAAG
rnacentral:lncRNA from 1 species